rnacentral:rRNA from 1 species
AAGGGAAAAUAUAUCCUUAUGUAUAUAUUCUUUAUUUUAAAGUAUAUAUAUAUA